UCAAUAAUACUACUAGAUUCGCGAUUAGCGCUUCAAAAACGGCCCGAAAAAUAAGACCACAAAUAAAUUUGUGGUCUUAUUUCAAAUUAGUAUGGUCCAAUCAUAGCCAACACUAAGACGUCAAAACGCUGCAAUGCGCGUUCAAAAACUGAGUAAAAAACCACCGUAACACCAAGGUUUUGGAAGGAAUAUCUUUUUUUGAUUUCCUAGUAGCCCCUUGUCGCUGUGCACAAUGGAUAUAUAUUGUCGCGAAAGAAAGAGGAGAAGAAAUAUAGAACCCUUAUAAAAAUUCUAGAAUUGUUCAAUGGUGGUGGCAAAUCAAUGCAAAAAAGUAUUAAAAAAACUUUAUAUGUAUGUGUAAAUAUUUUAAGCGUAUAUGCUGAAAAGGAUUUGUUUUCGGGGGGAAACGAACACAGCUAUAAAAUAAGCCUAAAUUAAACUGAUUAUAGAAAAAUUCAUUGAUAUAACAUUACAUUAUAUUUGUAAAAAAGAAACCGCUCAUAUAAAAAUGACUUCUAAAAGACAGCUUUAUAACAAACUGAAUCUGUUUAAAGGUAAUUAAACCUACAUUAUUGUUUUAAUUACUUCUGUAUAAAGAAUACGUGGAAAACAU